rnacentral:lncRNA from 1 species
GGUGGGGGUGGGGAGGGAGGGCCGGGGUGCUGAUGUCUGUCCUGGGGCCUUCGAGCCCCUUUCCGGGGUUCACUCUCUUGUCAGAAGGAUGUCUGAGAGGCGAGAGGCAGAGGGACUGAAGCUGCCGAAACCAUCACAUGAAGUGGAGACUUCAUCCCAGUCUGCCCAGAGGAACCAUCAGGACCCAGAGACGCCAAUAACAGAUUUGUCCUUGCCCUACUUUUCAAUCUUCCCAACUUUUUGAAACUACAAAACCACAGAAAUAUCCCUGAGUCUCUGCCAAUUCCAGAACUGACUGAAAGGAGGACAAAUGGGUCAGGGACUAUGAAAAAGAAUAUUCAGUCUAACCUGAGUCCAGUUGGGAGACCAUUAAUGAGAGCUUCUCUUCAAACUCCUUUUCUCAUUAUUCUUAUGCGUCCUUAUUAUCCAACAUGGAAAACUGACCAGUCAGAAGCAUCUCUUAUACCUGGGAUGAAAAUCUAAAAGCAGUGGUCGUUCCUUGGGAGAUUGAAACUUGAUCAGAGUCAGUCCAGAAGAGAAAUAAUUUGUGAUAUGCAAUUUGUGUCAGAGGUGGAUAACACCAUGCAAUAGAUUCUCUUACCCAAAGUGUAUCUACCAUUUGUCUGCUUACAGAGACUACCCAGAACCCUCUGGGAGAAUGGAAGAAGUGGAAGCACUGAGAUUCUCAAGGGAGACUCAAUAAAAAGUAAGACCUAAAACUCCCUUACA